rnacentral:misc_RNA from 1 species
UGGUUUUAUUACGCUGACAUAUAGGGCAUGCUGCAACAUAAUCCCUUAUCGUUGAUUUCAUACCCUUCCAAUAAAAAUCAUGGCAUAGUCACUGCAAUGUCUUAUUGACUCCUUCAUGGGUGGUAUCAUGAAAAUUAGAUAAUAGCGGUGCAAUUAAUGGAGAAGAUGAUAAAAGAUAAAUGCUGUUUUUAUAGAGGAUUAAGCCAUCUCGCAAGGUCCACAAAGUGCCCAAUUCUCCUGCUGCCACCUUGGUUCGCAAAUCCUGAAGCGAUUCUGAUUCAGCAAUUUCCUUUCGGAUCUCAUAAAAAAAUAGAACCUGUGGUUGAGAAAUGGCACACAACAUCCCUUCUUCCUCAGUUCGGCGGGAUAGUCCAUCUGCGGCU